rnacentral:rRNA from 1 species
CUACGGGUUGCUCCAGUUAGGAAUAAUCUACAAUGCGCGCAAGCGUGAUAGUUUGAACCAGAGUGCUUUUCAAAUGAAAGGCUUUUGUGAAAUGUAAAAAGUUUCACGAAUAAGGACUGGGUAAGACUAGUGCCAGCCGCGCGCGGUAAUACUAGCGGUCCAAGUCGCAGCCAUUUUUAUUGGGUCUAAAACAUCCGUAGCUUGCUUAAUAAGUCUUCUGUGAAAUUUUAUGUCUAAAGCAUAGAGCGCGCAGAAGGUACUGUUGAGCUAGAGACCGGAAGACGUAAGAAGUACAUUCAGAGUAGCGGUUAAAUGUGUUAAUCCUGGAUGGACUAACAAGAGCGAAGGCAUCUUACGAGGACGGUUCUGACAGUAAGGGAUGAAAGCUAGGGGCGCAAAUGGGAUUAGAUACCCGAGAGUC